GGGGUAUGCAAAGUCUCUCUUACCUUUACAUCACUAAAAACCUUCACUACAUAAACAUCUCUGUCAAUUUCACCGAUAUGAGCUUCUCUCUACUUUCUCUCUCUUUCUCUCUCACCCUCACACUCUCCCUUUCUCACUCUUAGCCAUGGCUUCCCUUCUCUCUUUGUUCGGCGGAUGUCCACCGUAUUAUCCGAAUCACGAGGAUUGAGAUCCAUCAAAAGUCACGUUAUCGGAAACGGCGUUAUCAUAUCCAAUUUCGUUGACAUCGAUUCUAAAUCACCUAGAAGAGAUGUCGUUUGUAAAGCAUAGAAAUCUACUACAGAUAGUAUGCUCACGAUUUGAAAUCUUAUCGAUUCAAAUUUAUUCAAUUUCACCUGUAUUCAAAUUGGGUGAAAAAAUCGAGUGGAUUUACUAUUAAAUCAUUUCCAAUUUGUUUUCAAUUUCAAUUGGCUGUGCUUCGGAGUUUCUGGAUAAAUUGGUCUGAUGUUUGGAAGAAUUGUGUAGAAACGAGGAGCUUCUAAACUCUGGUUAAUUGAUGAAAUGAAGGUUUCAAACUGGUCUCUGGUUCUCAAAGGGAAACCUAUGUUUGCAAUGAUUGACCGCAAGAUAGCUAAGGCCAAACCCAAUUUGGAUCAUGUAUGUGGACAAGUGCACAUGGACAAGUCCAUUGAACUGAUGAAUUAUCUAUUAGAGUAUGUACACAUGGACAAGUCCAUUGAAGGGGAUAUGAACGAAGGAGAAAGAUAUAUAUGAGAUGGUGUCUGUAAAUUGUUUACCUUUUACAUUUUGACUUGGAGAGGCAAGCUUAGUACAAUGGUUGUAGUAAAAGGCUUUUUAUAUAUUUAUCAAAUAAACAUGACUAUA